rnacentral:rRNA from 1 species
GACGAACGCUGGCGGCGUGCUUAACACAUGCAAGUCGAACGGAAAGGCCCUGCUUUUGUGGGGUGCUCGAGUGGCGAACGGGUGAGUAACACGUGAGUAACCUGCCCGUGACUUUGGGAUAACUUCAGGAAACUGGGGCUAAUACCGGAUAGGAGCUCCUGCGGCAUGGUGGGGGUUGGAAAGUUUCGGCGGUUGGGGAUGGACUCGCGGCUUAUCAGCUUGUUGGUGGGGUAGUGGCUUACCAAGGCUUUGACGGGUAGCCGGCAUGAGAGGGUGAACGGCCACAUUGGGCCUGAGAUACGGACCAGACUCCUACGGGAGGCAGCAGUGGGGAAUAUUGCACAAUGGGCGGAAGCCUGAUGCAGCAACGCCGCGUGCGGGAUGACGGCCUUCGGGUUGUAAACCGCUUUCGCCUGUGACGAAGCGUGAGUGACGGUAAUGGGUAAAGAAGCACCGGCUAACUACGUG